GCAGGCGCCUUCCCAAAAUGGGCGUGGAUAUGCAGAUACAUCAACUAGUUCCAACCAAUGGGAGCAGGCGUCUUCCCAAAAUGGGUACGGAUAUGCAAAUAUACCAAAGGUUUCAGCCAAUGGGAGCAGGCGCCGUCUGCAAAUGGCGCGAGGACUUCCACUCCCAGAAGCCUCGGCCGCAGUCAACAACGCGCAGGGCUUCUGGGAAUUGAAGUCCAAAUCCUUACCGGACAAGAAUGGGGUGCUGAUUGAACUUUUGGGAAGGGCCAAGAAAGUUGAGAUGACAUCCCAUCCCCAAGAAUAGCAAUAUUUUUACCACUUUAAUAAUUGUAAUAUGUCACUUUAUGUAAAUAUUUAAAUAUGGAUGGAUGUAAAGAUCUGCGUGCAGGACAGGUGUGUGCCCUUUGGCGCCUUCUGAUUGGCUGCGGGGCUCGGAGGGGGCGGGGCCUGGCCCCAGGAGACCCGGAUGCCUGCAUCCUGCUCCAGGAAGACUUCCUUCUCCCACCUGGAGACAGGCAGGGCGAUGCUCCGCUCCCCUUCCCUGGAGGUUUUGCUGGAGGCCGAGGGGCCCCUCCCGCUCUUGGACCACCCCUGGGACCCCCAAGGGUGCCUACAGGUGCAGAGUGGGCUCCACAUCCAAUCGGUCAAUCAAUCAAUUCAUCCGUCAAUCAAUCCAUCUUGUGCUGUGAAUUUGCAGAUUAUGAUUUCAGGCUCACAGUGGGCGAUACAGCCAAUCAAUCAAUCAGUCAAUCAAUCAGUCCACCAAUCAAUCCAUCUUGUGCUGUGAAUUUGCAGAUUAUGAUUUCAGGCUCACAGUGGGCGAUACAGCCAAUCAAUCAAUCAGUCAAUCAAUCAGUCCACCAAUCAAUCCAUCUUGUGCCUUUCCCUUUAGUGCUGUGAAUUUGCAGAUUACAAUUUCAAGCUCACAGUGGGCAAUACAACCAAUCAGUCAGUCCAUUAAUCAAUCAAUAAAUCAGUCUUGUGCCUUUUCCAGUCAAUUCACCAAUCAAUCAAUCAAUCUUGUGCCUUUCCUUUUAGUGUUGUGACUUGACAGAUUGCAAUGUCAUGCUUAGAGUGGGCUAUACAGACAAUCAAUUCGUCCAUCAAUCAAUGUUGUCCCUUUCCCUUUGGUGUUGUGACUUGUUAGAUGGCAAUUUCAGGUUCAGAUUGGGUUAUACAGCCAAUCAAUUCGUCAAUCAAUCAAUCAAUGUCUCUUUCCCUUUAUUAUUGUGACUUGACAGAUUGCAAUGUCAUGCUUAGAGUGGGCUAUACAGCCAAUCAAUCAAUCAAUCUUGUGCCUUUCCCUUUAGUGUUGUGACUUGGUAGAUUACAAUUUCAGGUUCAGAUUGGGUUAUACAGCCAAUCAAUUUGUCAAUCAAUCAAUCAAUCAAUCAAUCAAUCACUGUUGUCCCUUUCCCUUUGGUGUUGUGACUUGUUAGAUGGCAAUUUCAGGUUCAGAUUGGGUUAUACAGCCAAUCAAUUCGUCCAUCAAUCAAUCAAUCAAUCUUGUGCCUUUCCCUUUAGUGUUGUGACUUGGUAGAUGGCAAUUUCAGGUUCAGAUUGGGUUAUACAGCCAAUCAAUUCGUCCAUCAAUCAAUCAAUCAAUCAGUGUUGUCCCUUUCCCUUUGGUGUUGUGACUUGGUAGAUGGCAAUUUCAGGUUCAGAUUGGGUUAUACAGCCAAUCAAUUCGUCAAUCAAUCAAUCAAUGUCUCUUUCCCUUUAUUAUUGUGACUUGACAGAUUGCAAUGUCAUGCUUAGAGUGGGCUAUACAGCCAAUCAAUCAAUCAAUCUUGUGCCUUUCCCUUUAGUGUUGUGACUUGGUAGAUUACAAUUUCAGGUUCAGAUUGGGUUAUACAGCCAAUCAAUUUGUCAAUCAAUCAAUCAAUCAAUCACUGUUGUCCCUUUCCCUUUGGUGUUGUGACUUGUUAGAUGGCAAUUUCAGGUUCAGAUUGGGUUAUACAGCCAAUCAAUUCGUCCAUCAAUCAAUCAAUCAAUCUUGUGCCUUUCCCUUUAGUGUUGUGACUUGGUAGAUGGCAAUUUCAGGUUCAGAUUGGGUUAUACAGCCAAUCAAUUCGUCCAUCAAUCAAUCAAUCAAUCAGUGUUGUCCCUUUCCCUUUGGUGUUGUGACUUGGUAGAUGGCAAUUUCAGGUUCAGAUUGGGUUAUACAGCCAAUCAAUUCGUCCAUCAAUCAAUCAAUCAGUGUUGUCCCUUUCCCUUUGGUGUUGUGACUUGGUAGAUGGCAAUUUCAGGUUCAAUUAAUUGAUUCCAUCACAGGCUCCAGGCGGCGAAGACGACCUCCUCUGGCUGCUCAUUGACCCCAAUGUGGCCUUCGCUGACCCCCACGGUCCGGAGAGCGACAGCGGGAUCUCAGAUGACCCACAGGCCGAGUCCCCAAGAUACGCGGAGGCGCCAGGCCCAUCGUCCACGGCCGUCUGCGAGGUCGUCUGCGGUGCCGGAGGGACCCCUUUCCCCAACCAGGCCUUCGCCGGGACGCUUGGUACAUUGUCUGGGAUCCGCUCCGGGUUUGAGUCCGAACCUUAUUUGCAGGAGCUUUGCAUUUGGUGCCUUCCCAAAAUAUUCUGCUUUUGAGACGGAGCUUCCUUUUGCAACACGGUCCAUCGGGAGGGCUUUGAGUGCGCCUUUCCUGGGAGUCUCCUAUGGAUUUUUCUGUCCUGAGGCAGGAUGGCCAUCUGUCAGCAGCACAACUGGGAGAAGAGAACCCGACAAUUUGUACCAAAUCACCUACUCUUUCUAGCUCCUGCCUACAGCAACAUGGAGGUGGGGGAGAGAGAGAACCAAUUCUAAUAUUUCCGGGGAGAAGAAGCAAGCACCAACGAAAUUGUCGGGUUCUCUUCUCCCGGUUGUGCUGUGGGAAGAUCUCAUUAUAUUCAUUAUAUUCAUAAUAAGAUGCUGAAUAUUCAGUGCGCUCUGCCCAGGCUUAGGUUGGUCAGGCCCAAAUAGAACCCUAUGCUCUUUGCACAUGCUCAGAGGCAGCCUUAGUGAUUGACUUCCAAAUAGAAAUUUAAUGCGCUCUGUGCAUGCUCAGAGGCAGCCUUAGUGACUGACUUCCAAAUAGAAAUUUAAUGCACUCUGUGCAUGCUCAGAGGCAGCCUUAGUGACUGAUUUCUAAAUAGUCCAAAGAGAUUGCAAAUUUAUUCCAAGCAGGGACCUGCAUUCCCAAUGGCCGCCUUCUUUCCACCUCCUAAAACCCAUCAAAAUACACACAACAGGCUUUGAGUCCAAACCCCACUCCGGAGGCCCAACAGGAUAGUAAACAGGGUUGCUGUGAGUUUUCCAGGUGGUCUGGCCAUGUUUCAGAAGCAUUCUCUCCUGACGCUUCACCCACAUCUAUGGCAAGCAUCCUCAGAGGUUGUGAGGCAUAUACCUCUGAGGAUGUCAGGAGAAAUGUCAGGAGAGAAUGCUUCUGGAACAUGACCAUACAGCCCGGAAAACUCACAACAACCCUGUGAUCCCGGCCAUGAAAGCCUUU